rnacentral:sRNA from 1 species
UAUCUCUCCGUACGGGGAAGGAUGAGAAGCUUCGACUAAGGUUCGAUUCGAGCGAAUGCGAGAGAACGUUGCCAACGGCAACGGCCCGAAGGGCGAAGCGCGCAGCGCUGAGUCAUCCUUCCCCCACCACCA